GCCACACUGGAACUGAGACACGGUCCAGACUCCUACGGGAGGCAGCAGUGGGGAAUAUUGCACAAUGGGCGCAAGCCUGAUGCAGCCAUGCCGCGUGUGGAAGAAGGCCUUCGGGUUGUAAAGCACUUUCAGCGGGGAGGAAGGCGGUGAGGUUAAUAACCUUCAUCGAUUGACGUUACCCGCAGAAGAAGCCCCGUCAACUUCGCGGGGG
rnacentral:rRNA from 1 species